rnacentral:rRNA from 1 species
AGAGUUUGAUCAUGGCUCAGAANNNACGCUGGCGGCGCGCCUAAUACAUGCAAGUCGAGCGAGAAGACGUAGCAAUACGUUUGUAAAGCGGCGAACGGGUGAGGAAUACAUGGGUAACCUACCCUCGAGUGGGGAAUAACUAGCCGAAAGGUUAGCUAAUACCGCGUACGCUUCUUGGACUUCGGUUCAGGGAGGAAAGCGAUACCGUGGGUAUCGCGCUCUUGGAUGGGCUCAUGUCCUAUCAGCUUGUUGGUGAGGUAACGGCUCACCAAGGCUUCGACGGGUAGCUGGUCUGAGAGGACGAUCAGCCACACUGGCACUGCGACACGGGCCAGACUCCUACGGGAGGCAGCAGUAAGGAAUAUUGCGCAAUGGGCGAAAGCCUGACGCAGCGACGCCGCGUGGGGGAUGAAGGUCUUCGGAUUGUAAACCCCUUUCGGGAGGGAAGAUGGAACGAGCAAUCGUUCGGACGGUACCUCCAGAAGCAGCCACGGCUAACUUCGUGCCAGCAGCCGCGGUAAUACGAAGGUGGCAAGCGUUAUUCGGAUUUACUGGGCGUACAGGGAGCGUAGGCGGUUCGGUAAGCCCUCUGUGAAAUCUUCAGGCUUAACCUGGAAAAGUCGGAGGGGACUGCUGGGCUAGAGGACGGGAGAGGAGCGCGGAAUUCCCGGUGUAGCGGUGAAAUGCGUAGAGAUCGGGAGGAAGGCCGGUGGCGANNNCGGCGCUCUGGAACGUUUCUGACGCUGNNNCUCGAAAGCGUGGGGAGCAAACAGGAUUAGAUACCCUGGUAGUCC